rnacentral:rRNA from 1 species
UGUUGGGUUAAGUCCCGCAACGAGCGCAACCCUUGAUCUUAGUUGCCAGCAUUUCGGAUGGGCACUCUAAGGUGACUGCCGGUGACAAACCGGAGGAAGGUGGGGAUGACGUCAAAUCAUCAUGCCCCUUAUGACCUGGGCUACACACGUACUACAAUGGCCGGUACAACGGGCUGUGAAGCCGCGAGGUGGAACGAAUCCUAAAAAGCCGGUCUCAGUUCGGAUUGCAGGCUGCAACUCGCCUGCAUGAAGUCGGAAUUGCUAGUAAUCGCGGAUCAGCAUGCCGCGGUGAAUACGUUCCCGGGUCUUGUACACACCGCCCGUCACACCACGAGAGUUUAUAACACCCGAAGUCGGUGGGGUAACCGCAAGGAGCCA